rnacentral:rRNA from 1 species
UCCUACGGGAGGCAGCAGUGGGGAAUCUUGGACAAGGGAGCCAACGGUGAUCUAGCAAUGCCGCGUGUGUGAAGAAGGCGUUCGGGUUGUAAAGCAAUUUGUCUGGAAAGAAAUACAUUGCCCUAAUACGGCGGAGGAUGACGGUACCGGAAGAAAAGCAUGCUACACG